rnacentral:rRNA from 1 species
GACGAACGCUGGCGGCGUGCUUAACACAUGCAAGUCGAACGAAGAGCGAUGGAAGCUUGCUUCCCUCAAUCUUAGUGGCGCACGGGUGAGUAACGCGUAAUCAACCUGCCCUUCAGAGGGGGACAACAGUUGGAAACGACUGCUAAUACCGCAUACGAUCUAACCUUGGCAUCGAGGAUGGAUGAAAGGUGGCCUCUAUUUAUAAGCUAUCACUGAAGGAGGGGAUUGCGUCUGAUUAGCUAGUUGGAGGGGUAACGGCCCACCAAGGCGAUGAUCAGUAGCCGGUCUGAGAGGGUGAACGGCCACAUUGGGACUGAGACACGGCCCAGACUCCUACGGGAGGCAGCAGUGGGGAAUCUUCCGCAAUGGACGAAAGUCUGACGGAGCAACGCCGCGUGAGUGAUGACGGCCUUCGGGUUGUAAAGCUCUGUUAAUCGGGACGAAAGGCCUUCUUGCGAAUAGUUAGAAGGAUUGACGGUACCGGAAGAGAAAGCCACGGCUAACUACGUG